rnacentral:rRNA from 1 species
GGUCUGAGAGGAUGAUCCGCCACACUGGGACUGAGACACGGUCCAGACUCCUACGGGAGGCAGCAGUGGGGAAUAUUGGACAAUGGGGGGAACCCUGAUCCAGCCAUGCCGCGUGUGUGAAGAAGGCCUUUUGGUUGUAAAGCACUUUAAGCGAGGAGGAGGCUACCGAGAUUAAUAGUUUUGGAUAGUGGACGUUACUCGCAGAAUAAGCACCGGCUAACUCUGUGCCAGCAGCCGCGGUAAUACAGAGGGUGCAAGCGUUAAUCGGAUUUACUGGGCGUAAAGCGCGCGUAGGUGGCCAAUUAAGUCAAAUGUGAAAUCCCCGAGCUUAACUUGGGAAUUGCAUUCGAUACU